GACGAACGCUGGCGGCGUGCUUAACACAUGCAAGUCACGGGGGUCCCGCAAGGGAUAACCGGCGAACGGGUGCGUAACACGUGAACAACCUGCCCUCGUGUGGGGGAUAGCCAUGCUAACGCGUGGGUAAUACCGCAUACGGUCCUUUGGGGGAGUCCCUGGGGGAAGAAAGCUCCGGCGCACGGGGAGGGGUUCGCGGCCUAUCAGCUAGUUGGGGGGUAAGUGCCACCAAGG
rnacentral:rRNA from 1 species